CACAUUGUAAAAUAGGAACAGGCAUAGAACCUAUCUCUUGCUUGAAACAGUAUUGCACAAGCCUGUCGCUUGUGGAGCUGUGUUUCUAACCUGGUCGAGGCAAGCACAAUCAAGGCAAUGCUGUGGACGCGAAAACAUGGAAGCUGGUGAUAUCUGGGACUGGCAUCUCCAGGAGUGAUACAGGGAUUGGACGUAUUCUACGCAACACAAGAAUAAUGGCUGCAAUUAUUACUGUAUCGGGCAC